GAUGAAGAACGUAGCGAAAUGCGAUAAGUAAUGUGAAUUGCAGAAUUCAGUGAAUCAUCGAAUCUUUGAACGCACAUUGCGCCCGCCAGUAUUCUGGCGGGCAUGCCUGUUCGAGCGUCAUUACAACCCUCAGGCCCCCGGGCCUGGCGUUGGGGAUCGGCGGAGCCCCCCGUGGGCACACGCCGUCCCCCAAAUGCAGUGGCGGUCCCGCCGCAGCUUCCAUCGCGUAGUAGCUAACACCUCGCGACUGGAGAGCGGCGCGGCCACGCCGUAAAACACCCAACUCUUCUGAAGUUGACUCGAAUCAGGUAGGAAUACCCGCUGAACUUAAGCAUAUCAAUAAGCGGAGGA
rnacentral:misc_RNA from 1 species